ACCCCGUUCUUGAAACACGGACCAAGGAGUCUAGCAUGUGCGCGAGUCAUUGGGAUCUAACUAAACCUAAAGGCGAAAUGAAAGUGAAGGUCAGCCUCGCGCUGACCGAGGGAGGAUGGGCCUCCCUACGGGGGGCCCCGCACUCCCGGGGCGUCUCGUUCUCAUCGCGAGAGGAGGCGCACCCAGAGCGUACACGCUGGGACCCGAAAGAUGGUGAACUAUGCCUGGUCAGGACGAAGUCAGGGGAAACCCUGAUGGAGGUCCGUAGCGAUUCUGACGUGCAAAUCGAUCGUCGGAACUGGGUAUAGGGGCGAAAGACUAAUCGAACCAUCUAGUAGCUGGUUCCCUCCGAAGUUUCCCUCAGGAUAGCUGGCGCUCGCCGCGCGCGAGUCUCAUCCGGUAAAGCGAAUGAUUAGAGGCAUUGGGGUCGAAACGGCCUCAACCUAUUCUCAAACUUUAAAUGGGUGAGAUCUCCGGCUUGCUCGAACACGUGAAGCCGCGAGAUUUCGGAUCAGAGUGCCAAGUGGGCCACUUUUGGUAAGCAGAACUGGCGCUGUGGGAUGAACCAAACGCAGAGUUAAAGCGCCCAAAUCGACGCUUAUGGGAUACCAUGAAAGGCGUUGGUAACUUAAGACAGCAGGACGGUGGCCAUGGAAAGUCGGAAUCCGCUA
rnacentral:rRNA from 1 species